ensembl:lncRNA
CAGUAAGAUGGUACAUUUAUUGGAAUUUCCAAACAAAUGUAAACAUACAAUAUAGAAAAGAGAUUGCUGUGCCAAGAGGUGUGAUGGAUCAUGAUAAGAAAACCGUCAGAUAGGACCGAACAUCAACCUUCUAAAUCGUCCUAACGCAGACAAACACACACAGUGAUACACACACCACAGACCUUGGGGCUGUUCCAAACCAGUGUCUCGCUGGUGCCAUCCAUGUGUUCCAGACAGGUAGCCGACACGGUGACCCACUGUGACAGCCGCCCCGGGCCCUGGUCCUCCGCAAUGCCGGCCUACGGACGUCAACG